rnacentral:rRNA from 1 species
GACGAACGCUGGCGGCGUGCCUAAUACAUGCAAGUCGAGCGGACUUUCAAGAAGCUUGCUUUUUGAAAGUUAGCGGCGGACGGGUGAGUAACACGUGGGCAACCUGCCUGCAAGACGGGGAUAACUCCGGGAAACCGGGGCUAAUACCGGAUAAUAUCUUCCUUCGCAUGAAGGAAGGUUGAAAGGCGGCGCAAGCUGCCGCUUGCAGAUGGGCCCGCGGCGCAUCAGCUAGUUGGUGAGGUAACGGCUCACCAAGGCGACGAUGCGUAGCCGACCUGAGAGGGUGAUCGGCCACACUGGGACUGAGACACGGCCCAGACUCCUACGGGAGGCAGCAGUAGGGAAUCCUCCGCAAUGGACGAAAGUCUGACGGAGCAACGCCGCGUGAGCGAAGAGGGUCUUCGGAUCGUAAAGCUCUGUUGUCAGGGAAGAACAAGUACCGUUCGAACAGGGCGGUACCUUGACGGUACCUGACCAGAAAGCCACGGCUAACUACGUG